AUGGAAGGAAAAGCUGAUAAGGAGAAGACCUGGCUCUGGCUCACCAAUGGGACCCUGAAGGAGGAGACAGAAGGCCUGAUCCUUGCAGCCCAGGAGCAAGCCAUCAGAACAAAUGCAAUUAAGGCCAAGAGCGAAAAAUCAGCUGUUGACCCAAAAUGCAGACUGUGCAAGGAAACCGACGAAACCAUUGAUCAUAUCCUCAGCUGCUGUAAGAAAAUUGCACAGACAGACUACAAACAGAGGCACAACUAUGUGGCCCAAAUGAUUCAUUGGAACUUAUGCCUCAAGUACCACCUCCCAGCAGCAAAGAACUGGUGGGAUCACAAACCUGCAAAAGUAUUGGAGAAUGAGCACACAAAGAUACUGUGGGACUUCCGAAUCCAGACUGACAAAGUUCUGGAACACAACACACCAGACAUCACAGUUGUGGAAAAGAAAAAGGUUUGGAUCAUUGAUGUCGCCAUCCCAGGUGACAGUCGCAUUGACGAAAAACAACAGGAAAAACUCAGCCGCUAUCAGGACCUCAAGAUUGAACUUCAAAGACUCUGGCAGAAACCAGUGCAGGUGACAGUCGCAUUGACGAAAAACAACAGGAAAAACUCAGCCGCUAUCAGGACCUCAAGAUUGAACUUCAAAGACUCUGGCAGAAACCAGUGCAGGUGGUCCCGGUGGUGAUGGGCACAUUGGGUGCUGUGCCAAAAGAUCUCAGCCGGCAUUUGGAAACAAUAGACAUUGACAAAAUUACGAUCUGCCAGCUGCAAAAGGCCACCCUACUGGGAUCUGCACGCAUCAUCCGAAAAUACAUCACACAGUCCUAGACACUUGGGAAGUGUUCGACUUGUGAUUUUGUGAUAUGAAAUCCAGCAUAUCUAUCCUGUUUGCUGUGUCAUAAUAAUAAUAAUAAUAAUAAUAAUAAUAAUAAUAAUAAUAAUAAUAAUAACAACAACAACAACAUCAACAAAAACUCUGGCACAAGCCAGUCAAGGUGGUCCCAGUGGUAAUCGGCACACUGGGUGCAGUGCCUAAAGACCUUGGCCUGCACUUAAACACAAUUGGCGCUGACAAAGUUACCACCUGCCAGCUGCAGAAGGCCACCUUACUGAGAUCUGCAAGCAUUAUUUGCCGAUACAUCACACAGUCCUAGACACUUGGGAAGUGUCCGACGUGUGAUCCAAUACAACAGCCAGCAGAGUGUCUGCUGUGGACUCAUUUUGUUGUGUUUCAAAUAAUAAUAACAAUAAUAAUAAUGAAACUUUAUUUGUAAGAUGCAUCCUUAGUCUUAACUUUUUUCUCUUUAAAAAUGCUAAGAAGAGAAAAGAAACUGAUUACAGCAAAGCUCUAAAUAUAAUCAAGACAUUGUGUGAAAAAGAGCACCCAAAAUUAUGAUUGUGUUUGAAAGAGCUGACCUGAGGUUAACAUUCUUGGCUGUAUCCAAUCUAUUAUAGUCUUCCGCCUACAACCUGACAGCUCCUGAAGUCUCGGCUGCAGAUUGUUUAGUGAGGGUUAUUCCUUAAUUCUUCUCCCCGUUCUGUUAAUGGGAAGGACAGCAGCUGGGGCGAACAUUUGCCGUGGGCCGCACAUCCACUGCAUUAGGGAUCAGCGUUUAAGCACACCAUUUCAGCACUGAUGCAGAGCCCAUUUAGAUUUCAGCUGUGAACAUGUUUAAUCUUGUCCAAAACUGAGCCUCUUAGCUCUUCGUAAAAGCUGAGAACUGCGAGAAAUUAAGCUGGAGUGUGUCGCCUUUGCUGCAAAAGGUCACUGCCAGGAAAGAACACAGCCUUGUCCAUUUGCACCAAGAUAGAAGUUGAGAAAUAAUUUUCCAAAAUGAGUUGGUUGUAUAACUUGGGGUGAAGUUCUCCGUGCAGAACAACUUGUUUGACAUGGUCAUUAUACAGGAUGUUUCAAGGAGAUUUGAAAUCUAUACUGCUUUGAAAUUGGGGCUUUCAUUUUCAAACACUCUAAAAAAAAGUCAUGGUGUUUGUUAACAAUAUUAAUUACCCUUUUUUGUUAUUUUUGUUAUUGAUGGUGAUCCUCCUGGAAAAAGCCUAUCUAUAAAAGUGGGACAAAAGCUUAAAAUGACUGCCAAUCAUUUUUUGUCUUCCAGAAGUAAUGAGAAAAACUGACAAAUAAAUGUCACAUGUGUGUGUGUGUGUGGGGGGGGGGGGGGUCUCAAUAGUUGUAUCACUUUUCAAAAGUAACGUUGUUAUGCCCUAGCCAAAAUUUCACAUAUGAAAACCAGGACACAUGUCGCCAAGUGAUAUCAGAGUGUAGAAAAGAUACCAAAAUUAAUGUAUGAAUAUACAAGUGAGAAGAGGAUGCAGCAGUUUGCUUUUUCCUGCAUCUCCAGAGAAGGACAGGAUUUCAACCCUUGUUCUUCUCCUUGCUAAGUGAAUUAAGUGAAAACUUCUUUUGUACUUUGAACUCAGUUUGCACCAAUGGAAGAAAAUGGGAAGAUGAAACAGAAAUCAGGAUAUUUUAAAAGUAGCUCCAAAAGUGGGACAGCAAAAGAUAGGUACAGAGAACUUACUACAUUGGCACAGUUAAAGGGUAUGUUAUGCCUUCCAAUAAGUAACAUAGUAAUUGUAACAUUAUCUUAAUGCAUUAGUUCCAAGCUUCCUUGGUGGCACAAUGAGUUAAACCCUUAUGCUGGCAAGACUGCAGACUGACAGGUCAGCUAUUUGAAUCCGGGGAGAGUAGAUGAGCUCCCUCUGUCAGCUCCAGCUCCCCAUGUGGGGACAAGGAUGGUAAAACAUCUGGGUGUCACCUGGGCAAUAUCCUUGGAGACAGCCAAUUAUCUCACACCAAAUGACUUGCAGUUUCUCAAGUCACUCCUAACACAAAAAAAGUUCCAAGCUCCAAUGCAAUAUACAUUCUAUAGUAUUGCAGUUAAAUCUGAAUAAAUAGAAUAGCUUUAUUGUCAUUGUACUAUUGCACAACAGGUAAAAUCAGCUGUUGUGUGUGUUCAGUAUCCCUUGGUCUCUAACUUUAGCACCUUUUCAUGCAUAAAUAGGGCAAUCUUUCAACUUGUAAGAAAAAUGGUUCAGAAAAAAACCAUCCAUAGACAUUGAGCAGCUGCCCGGCAUGCCCGCCAUGGCUAACCCACACCAAAAGGAUUCCUCAGAGAGUCAGAGUUUGACUGCAGAAACUCUGUGCAACACUAAUGUCUAAAUUUGCUCCUAGUUCUGGUGCAAUGCUGUGUAAAUUUGAUUACAUUGGAUGACAACCAACCAUUUCACCACCCAGACAAGGGCAAAGUACAGCUAAAUCAACGUCAGCACCUUCAUAUGAAUGUUGGCUUUGGCAAGCUGAGAAAAGAGUUUCUUCCUGUACAUAACGACUCACAUUGAUGAAAGCUUGUAAAAGAAAAGGGAAUUUAAGUUCACAGAGUUAGCAUUGUAGAAAGUAUAUAACAAGCCAGUUCUAUACAAAGCUGAUGUUUUCUACAUUUGUAAGACAAUAAUAUACAACAUAGAGAUAACCGUCAAUAAAGAACAAAUUACUCAUGAUUUAUUCUUUUUCCUAAUAAUUGAGGUAUUAUCUACAUUUCAUUAAGCUGGCAACUUCAUGAAGGUAAGCCAUAGGACUGUAACAUUUAGUUACUUUACAGUUUUUAGCAUGUACCUUUAAUACAUGUACAUUUAUUAAAGAAAAGCUCCAUUUCCAUCUAGGCAUGUAUAGCUUUGCUAUAUUAUAUAUUGUAUCGUAUUGUACUGCCAACUAUGUAUUCAUCACAAACACUUUCUUCAAGCAAAAAACAGGCAAUUCUAUAAAUGAACAUCACUUGAUGGCCAAGAUAAAAAUCAAAGUACAGCUCAAUCAAUGUCAGCACCUUUAUAUGUAUGUUGCUUAUUAUCUAUAUAUAUAAAAGAGUGAUGGCAUCACGGCGACUCACAAAACAACAAAAGUACAGGCCCCCCAACCUCAAAAUUUGACAACACAACCCAUCAUCCACGCCUCAAGGUUGAUACAACAAAAAGAAAAGAAAAAUAAAGUCCUAAUUAGAGGGAGAGCAAUAAUUUUUUUUAUCCAAUUGCUGCCAGUUUAGAGGUCUAAUCUCUGCCCACUUGGUUGCCUAGCAACCAAGGGACAGCCAGCGUUCAGUUAGGGGACAGGCAGAUUUAGGCCUCACUUAGACUUCUUCCACAGAUUAUCUAAUUUGCACUGGAUUAUAUGGCAGUAAUUACUGUAUUUACGAAUUUAGCACCAAAAUAUCACGAUGUAUUGAAAACAUUAACUACAAAAAUGCGUUGGAUAAUCCAGAAUGUUGGAUAAGCGAGUGUUGGAUAAGUGAGACUCUAAUACUAAUACAGUAGAGUCUUACUUAUCCAAGCUUCGCUUAUCCAAGCCUCUGGAUUAUCCAAGCCAUUUUUGUAGUCAAUGUUUUCAAUAUAUCGUGAUAUUUUGGUGCUAAAUUUCGUAAAUACAGUAAGUACAACAUAACAUUACUGCAUAUUGAACUACUUUUUCUGUCAAUUUGUUGUAUAACAUGAUGUUUUGGUGCUUAAUUUGUAAAAUCAUAACAUAAUUUGAUGGUUUAAUAGGCUUUUCU
ensembl:lncRNA